rnacentral:lncRNA from 1 species
UGGUAGAAAAAGAAAAAGAAAAAAACAAAACAAAACCAAAGAACCUUUUUGCUUUCCCGUCAAGGCGAGCCUAGUUUCUGGAAUUCGUCUUCGCUGCUCAAGACGAUUGUCGCUCAAUCCGGCAGCUCUUUAAACAUCUACGACCACAAAACAAACGCUUGACCACCGUAGCAAAACAUUUCACAUACUUACUUUCAUAAAUCGUGAUCACUCGAGCAUAUCACGACAACAAAAACUAUGAAGACAUCCAUAAGUGAAAAUCAUUUCUUCAGAACAUAAAAAACCAAGAACUUACAUGAAUAACUUUGCGCCAUUGUUUCAACC